UCAAGAUUUGUUGAGUUAGUUCAUUGAAAAUCCACUAGAGUGCCCGAACAAACAAAGGAUGGGCAACAGUUCCUGCUGCAUGUGUUGAUGUUCCAGCUGUUGGUCCUGCCACUGACAAUUCUGCUGCUUUUGACAAUGCUGCUUCUCCUGCUGCUGAGACUGGUCCCAUAAUGGGACCUAGUGACCAUCAGGAUGCAGCAACGUGAGGAAGGUAUCACAA